rnacentral:lncRNA from 1 species
UUCUACAACAGAUUCCUUGAUUUUGAUGAUAACAAAGGAUGAAACCAAAAAUUGCACCCUAACGAAAAGUUUCUAAGUGUGCAGGGUUCUAAAGAAAGAAGAAAUGAAUCUGAUGAUGUCAUCAGAUGCACAACAAGAUCAGAUACAAAUUCUAGAGUAUUAGGAGCAUCUGAAGUGGAAGCACGUUCAAGAAAGUCUAGAAGCUCUGACUCUGGACAAAACUGCAAAGUAUCAGAAGCAUCUGAACAUGAAGUAAAGUCUAGAAGCUCUGAUUCUGGAGAAACGUUAUCUGUAUAUUC